rnacentral:lncRNA from 1 species
GAGAGGAACUUGCCUACAGCCCUCAGAAACAGCAAGAAAGAGAACCCAAGAGGGUUUGCAGAACCUAACGUGUGGCCACUAUAAGAUGAACCCAAGGUGAACUGGAGGCUGGAGUGUGAAGAAAGUUCUUGCUAUCUUUCUCUGGACUUCAGUUAAGCAACCAAGAAAAGCAGCAUGUCCCAUGACUUCAGAUGUUUGGAUCAAUUUUCCAAUUACGUUUUAGUAGAUUAACAUCAUGGCCAUGAGCUCCUCCGAUUACAGUCUUUCUCGAGUAACAUCUGAGGACCAGCUAAUAGCAGCUACUCAGCUACUAAAUACAUAUUGCCUGUGAUGUUCAAGCCUUUGCAGAUAAAAUCAGCAGUCCACAAAGCAAGAACAGCCUGAGCAAACUGCUCAAGCUUUUUAGAGCCACAGGUUACAGAAACUUGCUUUGUCAGCACUGGAAUCAAGCCACUGACUGAGAGAAUGGGAGAUCAACAGAGAGAAGCAAAAAGGUCUGCUAGCAAAGGAGCCAAAUAAGCAUUUGCAAUUUGUUGGAGGCGGACAAAGAACAGAGACCCCAGAGUGCAAAACACCUCCACACAGAUCUCUCGUUGGCUUCAUCCCUGUCUUCAACCAUAUGAGCUCUACUAUGUGUAAGACCAAUGAGGAUUUUUGGUGAACGAUAGAGUUGAAUAAAAUACAAUUACGCUCCUUGUGGACCUGGCAUUCCCUGGAAUGGCUUCAAAAAGGGGGUGCAGUAAAGGCAGUUAUGGCCAAAUUUCUGAGAAGCUUACUGUUGACUCUGCUGGAUUGUCAUGUUUUCAUGGCCAAAGCACUCCCUGGGACACCUGCCCCCAGUCGUCGUGUUUGUUCUCAGGUCUGUGCAUCUGAAUUGCUAUCAACCAAGGUGGUGUGGAGAGAGUGCUGUAUCUCCUCACAGCCUAAUCGUAGAGUCAUUGCAAGGUGGGAGUCCUCAGCAUCCUGUUAAGCCUGGACCAGCUGAGCAUGACAGUUGCGUUGUCCUCACCCUCUGGCCACAUCACGCUCCCAAACAGUGGAGAUUUUAGGACAGAAAUGACAUCAUGGAUUUUGUUUACUGUGGCCUAUCUUCAAUGACCUGAGUCAAGACAGUCUGUCGCUUGGACUUGCCGUAGAGUGAAGAAUACUGGCUUUGGAGUGGGAACAACCUGGAGUUCAGUGCUCUGCCACUUGCCAGCAUUGUAACCGUGGUCAGUGACUUACCUUUCUGGAAUUCCCUCUUUCUCCUCUGUAAUAUAGGAGUAAUAGUAACAGGCAACUCAAAGGACUCUUA